GUAAAUAUAGUUUUAAAAAAAAUACUAGAUUGUGAUUCUAGGGAUAAAGGUUUAAACCCUUUUAUUAACC
rnacentral:tRNA from 1 species